rnacentral:misc_RNA from 1 species
GUUUAGCCCAGAUUGAGCGGUUUGUUUGAGCUCUUUUUUAUUCUUUUUUGAAUAAAAAAAGCGAGUAGCGAAAGCUGGAAAUAGC